AAAAAAAAUGCGAUUUUUCAACAUGUUGUGAAAACGUGCCAUAUGAUGAAAUAAUGUAAAAUAGGCCGUGAAAAACACUAUGGUAAGGUUUUCUUUGAAAAAAAAAUCAUCAUGAAUUUUGGCGCAAAAAAAACGCCAUAGUAUACUAUGUCGAAAAAAAUUUGCGAUUUUCCAACAUGUUGUAAAAACGAGCCAUAUGAUGAACGAAUGUAAAGGAGGCUGUGAAAAACACUCCAGAAAGGUUUUCUUUGAAAAAAAAAAUCAUGAAUUUUGGCGCAAAAAAACGCCAUAGUAGACUAUGUCGAAAAAAAAAUGCGAUUUUUCAACGUUGUGAAAACGUGCCAUAUGAUGAAAUAAGGUAAAAUAGGCCGUGAAAACUCUUACUGUUCACCUCUUAAAACCCAAAAACACCGCAGUAGCACCCU
ensembl:lncRNA